rnacentral:rRNA from 1 species
UACGGAGGGAGCUAGCGUUAUUCGGAAUUACUGGGCGUAAAGCGCGCGUAGACGGCCACUUAAGUCGGAUGUGAAAGCCCCUGGCUCAACUGGGGAAGUGCACCCGAAACUGAAUGGCUUGAAUGCAAAAGAGGGUCGCGGAAUUCCCGGUGUAGAGGUGAAACUCGUAGAUAUCGGGAGGAACACCGGUGGCGAAGGCGGCGACCUGGGUUGACACUGACGCUGAGGCGCGAAAGCGUGGGGAGCAAACAGG